GGUUGAUCCUGCCAGUAGUCAUAUGCUUGUCUCAAAGAUUAAGCCAUGCAUGUCUAAGUACAUACUUUUUGAUGGUGAAACCGCGAAUGGCUCAUUAAAUCAGUUAUGGUUCCUUAGAUCGUACGAUCCUACUUGGAUAACUGUGGCAAUUCUAGAGCUAAUACAUGCAAAAAGGCACCGACUCACGGAGGUGCGAUUUUAUCAGUUCAAAACCAAUCGGUCGCAAGGCCGUCACUUUGGUGAAUCUGGAUAACUUUGUGCUGAUCGCACGGCCCUCGUGCCGGCGACGUAU
rnacentral:rRNA from 1 species